GCCAUGCAUGUCUAAGUAUAAAUUCUUGUACGAUGAAACUGCAGACGGCUCAUUACAACAGUGAUAAACUAAUAGACUUUCGGGUUUUACCUUUUGGAUAACCGCAGUAAAUCGGGGCUAAUACAUAGAAGCGAGGGGUGACUGAUUUAUCGGAAGCUCCGCGAUUAUUAGCAUUCAACCAAUACCCGCAAGGGUUCUGUUGGUGAAACCGAAUAAUAUUGCAGAUCGAAGAUUUAUCUUCGACAAGUCUACUGUGUCACUGCCCUAUCAACUUUCGAUGGUACGGUAUUGGCCUACCAUGGUUGUAACGGGUAACGGGGAAUUAGGGUUCGAUUCCGGAGAGGGAGCCUGAGAAAUGGCUACCACUUCUACGGAAGGCAGCAGGCGCGCAAAUUACUCAAUCCCAAUACGGGGAAGUAGUGACAAUAAAUAUCGAUGCCUAUCCAUUUAUGGAAGGGUAAUUGAAAUGAACACAAAUUAAAACUCUUAAUUAAUACAAUUGGAGGGCAAGUCUGGUGCCAGCAGCCGCGGUAAUUCCAGCUCCAAUAGCAUAUACUAAAGUUGUUGCAGUUAAAAAGCUCGUAGUUGAAGUUAAAGCUUUAUUUGGGUUAAAAAUCCAUUUGCCUUUUAACGGUUAAAUAGGAUUCCAGUAUUGCUUUUUUAAAGUUCAGUUUGUAUUGCCUUUGGUAGUAUUUAUUUGGACAUUUCACUGUGAGAAAAUUGUGGUGUUUAAAGCAGGCGUCUCUGUCUGAUCUUUUGCAGCAUGGUAUGAUGGAACAUGACAUUUUGCG
rnacentral:rRNA from 1 species